rnacentral:piRNA from 1 species
UGGGGUUGCUGUGUUUGAUUCUGGAUCUU